CAAGAGAGUAGAUUGCCUAGGGCACAGGUGAAUGAGUUAGGCCAAGCAGGAUUCUUCUAGACUAUUUAAGUUUAGCUACUGAUUGGGACAGUCCACCAGCGAUCCUGUGUCUUUAUACUUGUUGUGCCUGUGUUGGAGUGGAAGAGUCAUUGCACCUGCGCCAUUGAUUCAAGUGUUAGACUAGGUGUAGCCAUCUGCUAAUGAGUAGAUACUGCGAGAAAAACUUAAAUAAUUUUGAGCGGAAGAUAUACGAGAUUUGCAGGAAUUUUGCCAUUGCUCCUAGUUUGAAACUAGGUUACCAAAAUACAGUUGUGAAAAGUUGAUCUUUUUUUGUUGUUUGAAGGAAGGAAAAAAACUUUUUGGGGGGCGUGUGUAGUCUCACUGCUCUAUCCACUGCCAUGUAGGAGUUAACUCACUUUGUUUAUACAACCAUAACCACACCUCCUUGCUCAUGACUUGCAC